AUUGAACGCUGGCGGCAGGCCUAACACAUGCAAGUCGAGCGGAUGACGGGAGCUUGCUCCUGGAUUCAGCGGCGGACGGGUGAGUAAUGCCUAGGAAUCUGCCUGGUAGUGGGGGACAACGUUUCGAAAGGAACGCUAAUACCGCAUACGUCCUACGGGAGAAAGCAGGGGACCUUCGGGCCUUGCGCUAUCAGAUGAGCCUAGGUCGGAUUAGCUAGUUGGUGAGGUAAUGGCUCACCAAGGCGACGAUCCGUAACUGGUCUGAGAGGAUGAUCAGUCACACUGGAACUGAGACACGGUCCAGACUCCUACGGGAGGCAGCGGUGGGGAAUAUUGGAAAAUGGGCGAAAGCCUGAUCCAGCCAUGCCGCGUGUGUGAAGAAGGUCUUCGGAUUGUAAAGCACUUUAAGUUGGGAGGAAGGGCAGUAAGUUAAUACCUUGCUGUUUUGACGUUACCGACAGAAUAAGCACCGGCUAACUUCGUGCCAGCCGCCGCGGUAAUAC
rnacentral:rRNA from 1 species